UACGUAGGCAGCGAGCGUUGUUCGGAGUUACUGGGCGUAAAGAGUGCGUAGGCGGUUUUCUAAGUUUGGUGUGAAAUCUCCCGGCUCAACUGGGAGGGUGCGCCGAAAACUGCAAGGCUGGAGUAUGGGAGAGGUAGGCGGAAUUCCUGGUGUAGCGGUGAAAUGCGUAGAUAUCAGGAGGAACACCUGUGGUGUAGACGGCUUACUGGACCAUGACUGACGCUGAGGCACGAAAGCGUGGGGAGCAAACAGG
rnacentral:rRNA from 1 species